ensembl:lncRNA
CUUUCUUUCUUUCUUUCUUUCUUUCUUUCUUUCUUUCUUUCUUUCUUUCUUUCUUUCUUUCUUUCGGAUAAUUUAAGAUCAAGAAAAUUUAAUGUGCUUUUACAGUAACUCUUUAUGAAGAGACUGGGGAUUUUGUUUGGCUACUGUGUCAUCCUACUUUAUUUUUCAGAGCAGCCUGAAGACACACAAUCAAGUAAUGGACAUUUCUGGGGAUAUGAAGGGUCCCUCUGCUCUCCUUCCCCACCCACAUGUGCACUAUGCCAGGAGGCAGUAGGAGAAGGAAUCAUGUGCAAGAGGACUCAGUAAUAAUUCUAGGGGCACUCAGCGGUCCUUUUCUGGAUUUUGGUGUUCUGAUGAAAACACUGUUGGAAGGGAAGGGAAGGGAAGGGAAGGGAAGGGAAGGGAAGGGAAGGGAAGGGAAGGGAAGGGAAGGGAAGGGAAGGGAAGGGAAGGGAAGGGAAGGGAAGGGAAGGGAAGGGAAGGGAAGGGAAGGGAAGGGAAGGGAAGGGAAGGGAAGCUCCAGGAAAAUACUGCCCCUCUUUCAGGAGCCCUCCUAACAAUGUCACUUGUGCUGGUGACAAAUGCUGCUAGAGCUCUACUCAUUCUGUCUGUAAUCAACAGUAAGCUAUAGCUGAGCUUCAGUUGGAUUGGCAGCUCUUUCCAUGGUGCAAAGGGAUAGAAGGAUCUUGCAAUCUCUCCAUUUAGUUCUUCUUACUUAAUUAGGGGUCUGGAAACCUUUCUAGAAAUCUGCAGCCCUUUCAGCCCGAUAAACAGGAACACCGCAGCAGGCAACUGCUUAUUAACUUACCACUUCUUAAUUGCAGAAGCAAUGCAGAAUCAAGGCCUUGGGAGUUUCACUGAGUUUGGAAGAGACCUCCUAAGAUCAUGCAGUCCAGUGUCCCAGAUCAAAGUAGAGUCAGCUACAGCAGGUUGAUUGUGAUCCUGUCCAAUAGGGUUUUGAAUAUCUCUAGGGAUGGAAAUUCCACUGGGCACUUUGUGCCAGUGUUUGAACACCCUCACAGUAAGAAAGUAUUAUCUCACGUUCAGUUUGAAUUCCCCAUUUUUUAGUUCAUGCCCAUUGCCUCUUGUACUGUCAGUGAGCAGCACUGAGAAGAGUCUGUCUCCCUCAUCUUCAUUCUCUCACUUCAGGUAUUGCUACGCAUUGAGCCCUCUCUUCACCAGGCUAAACCGUCCCAGCUUUCUCAGUCAUUCCUUCUAGGAGAGAUGAUCCAGUCCCUUCAUCAUCUUCCUGGCCCUCUGCUGGACUCCACCCAAUAUGUCCAUGCCUGUCAUGUACUUGGGAGCGCACAGCUGGACACAAUCCUCCAGGUGUGGCCUCAGCAGUACUGAGAAGAGGGGAAGGAUCACCUGCCUCGACCUGCUGGUACUGUUUUUCCUAAUGCAACCUGGCAGGCUGUCAGCUUCCUAUGCCAUGAGGAUGCAUUGGAUUUGUUGUUUCCUACUUGAAAAGCAGCACCAGCCUGAACACAGAAAGACCUGCUCAGUAGUCAGUCCUCUGACCAGCUGUUGAGAAUGCUGUACCAUGAAGUUGAAAGCAUAUUCUGCAACAUUAGCUGAUUUCCCCAUGCAGUAGGGCUUAUGUUCAUUCAUCUUGCUGUCAGAACACUCCACACAGCACAGAAAGCAACUCUGCAAGCAGAAUACAAGCCCCAGGUGGCAAAGCCUGAGCAAUGAGUUAAAUAUAACUCUAUGAAAUAGCUCUAAUGGCCAUGACAAACAGGACUCUCAUAUUAGCCAGAGAGAUGAAAGUUUUUUUGUUUGUAUUAUUUUGUUUUUCUUUUUAGUCAUUGUCUAUGUGAUAAAAUAUAUAUUCUUCAUUUUAAAAAUGAAAGGAAAGAAAGCUAUAUGAUUGGAAGCAGCUUGCUUUUCCUGGUGAUUAAUACAUUUGGGAUUCUCCUUCUCUACAACUUAUUUAAAGUUAUGCUAACAUUGCCUACUCGAGCAUCUUUCCAUCACCUAUAAUAAAAAAAGAAGUGUUGUCA